CCAAACGAAACCAAGCCCCUCUCUUCUCAGUUCUCACAGUCUCGCUCUCUACACCCUCAGCGCCGGCGAGACCGUUCCUCCCACCACCUCGCAGCGCCGCGAAGCCUUCCUCCCAGCGCCACCGAAUCUUUCCUCCCACUGCUCCCAGGACCUCCUCGCGGACAGAGAGAGCACCACGAAGCCCCAGCCACCGCCAGCGCCCAGCAGCCCAGCACCACCCUCGUGCAGUCGCACCCAGCAGGCCAGCAGUAGCACAGCACCACCCACUCACCCAGGACCACCCAGCGGACAGAGCACCACGCCACCACCCAGCAGCGUUUCUGGCCACCCACAACACAACACCUCCCACCCAGUCACCGAUUCAGGUCAGAGAUGGAGCCCGAGCCACUGAGUCAGGUCUAAAAGGUGGACCAGCAUUACCGAGGAAGUUGAUCUCGCAGGGUGCUGCACAGAAGCAAUAGUGUUGAGGUUCACCCACUCAUUUUGAAGUUGACUGAUGCCAGAGAUAACAGUGUGUUAACUGUAAAAUUAAGCAAAAAGGCGAACAUAAGGGAACUAUAUGAAUUGGUGUGCAAAAUCAAAGGAGUAGAACAAAAAAAGCAAGAAGGGCAUUGAUGCAGGAGCAAUAGGAGCAUGCACUGGGAAGCCAUUCAAGGAGUCAACCCCCAAAAUGACAUCAGCAUCUUGAAGCUAGUCGCAUUUUGAAAGGUUGGGCAUUGCACUUUCUUCUUCAAUGGCUAAACAAAAUCUUAGGCAAGCCAUUGAUUUUUUGUAUUCUCGGGGCCUUGCUACUGCUGAUUCCUAUACGCGCCAUGUCCUUCACUGCGUUCGAGCAAAUGACUUUGUUCAAGCCAAGAGAUUGCAGUCUCACAUGCAACUUCACCUUUUCCAACCCAAAGACUCCUUCAUCCACAACCAGCUCCUCCAUUUGUAUGCCAAAUGCGGCAAACUCUCCAAUGCACAAGACCUGUUUGAUAAUAUGACCCACAGAGAUGUUUAUUCUUGGAAUGCGUUGCUUUCUGCUUAUGCUAAGUUGGGUUUGGUUGAGGAUUUGUGCACUGUCUUUGAUCAAAUGCCUUCUCGUGAUUCCGUUUCUUAUAACACCUUGAUUGCGUGUUUUGCAACUACUGGGCAUUCAGGCAAGGCAUUGAAGAUUUUAGUGAGGAUGCAAGAAGAUGGGUUUCAGCCCACCCAGUACUCCUAUGUGAAUGCAUUGCAAGCAUGUUCUACGCUCUUGGAUUUGAAGCUUGGUAAGCAGAUUCACGGGAGAGUUGUUAUUAGUGGUUGUGGGGAUAACACUUUUGUAUGGAAUGCUAUCACUGGUGUCUAUGCAAAGUGUGGUGAUAUUCACAGGGCACGGUGGUUCUUUGAUCGAAUGACACAUAAGAAUGUUGUUUCCUGGAAUCUUAUGAUCUAUGGAUAUGUCAAAUUGGGGCAUCAUGAUGAGUGCAUUCGAUUGUUUAAUAAGAUGAAGUUAUUGGGUUUGAAACCUGACCAAGUUACAGCAUCAAUUGUUAUCAAUGCUUACUUUCAGUGUGGACAUGUGGAUGAUGCAAGGAGGAUGUUCAGUGAAAUACCUAGAAAGGAUGAGAUUUGUUGGACAACAAUGAUAGUUGGUUAUGCACAUAAUGGAAGAGAAGAGGAUGCAUUGAUGUUGUUUGGCGACAUGCUGCGUGGAGACGUUAGACCUGACAGUUACACCAUUUCAAGUGUGGUCAGCUCCUGCGCCAAGCUAGCUUCUUUGUGUCAUGGUCAGGUUGUCCAUGGAAAAGUAAUAGUAAUGGGUGUUGAUCAUAGCAUGCUUGUGUCAAGUGCUCUUGUUGAUAUGUACUGCAAGUGUGGAGUUACUUUGGAUGCUUGGAGCAUUUUUUGGAUAAUGCCUAUUCGGAAUGUGAUUACUUGGAAUUCUAUGAUCCAUGGUUAUGCACAAAAUGGUCAACCACAUGAAGCACUGGCUCUUUAUGAAAGGAUGCUUCAGGAAAAUAUCAAACCUGAUAGCAUUAGUUUUGUGGGCGUAUUAUCUGCUUGUAUCAGUGCUGACAUGGUCGCAAAGGGACAGGAAUAUUUUAAUUCAAUAAGUGAACAUGGGAUGACACCAACAUUGGAUCACUAUGCAUGUAUGGUCACUCUCAUUGGUCGCUCUAGUAGUGUUGAUAAAGCUGUGGAUUUGAUCAAAUGCAUGCCUCAUGAACCAGAUUACCUGAUUUGGUCCACUCUACUCUCUAUUUGUGCAAAGAAGGGUGAUAUCAAGAAUGCAGAAUUGGCAGCUGGUCAUCUCUUCAAGUUGGAUCCACGUAAUGCAGGACCUUAUAUCAUGCUUUCCAACUUAUACGCUGCUUGCGGGAGAUGGGAAGAAGUAGGUGAUGUACGAUCUCUCAUGAAUAAAAACAAUGCAAAAAAGUUUGCUGCUUAUAGUUUGGUUGAGGUUGAGAGUGAAGUCCACAAAUUUGUUUCAGAAGAUCGUACUCAUCCAGCAGUGGAAAAAAUCUAUGAUGAAUUGAAUAGAUUGAUUUCAAUAUUGCAACGAAUUGGGUAUAAUCCAGAUACAAACAUUGUUCUGCAUAAUGUGGGACAGGAGGAAAAAUUUAAAUCCAUCUCAUACCACAGUGAGAAACUUGCUCUUGCUUUUGCUUUAAUCAGAAAGCCCAAUGGAAUUGCACCUAUCAGGAUCAUAAAAAAUAUACGUGUCUGUGAUGACUGCCAUGUGUUUAUGAAAUUUGCAUCAGUCCAUAUUGGAAGGACAAUCAUUCUGAGAGAUUCAAACAAAUUCCAUCAUUUCUUUGGUGGGAAGUGCUCUUGCAAGGACCAUUGGUAAAGUCUUAAUCCAGAUAAUGAUAUCCUGUGCAUUUUUAAUUGUUUUGAAAAGGAAUGGUGCUGGCAAUAGAAGGGAAAAUUAAAUCUAUAUGUAAACGUGGACUCAAUAGAUUGGAGCAGCUGUAUAGCACGGGAAUGCCUUUAGAAAAUUUCUUGGGAUGACACAAUGUGUUGGGCUAGGAAGCAAGUAUACUCUUUGAAUCCAUUAAUCAAGAAUGGACCUUGAAGAAAGAGAGUCAAGAAAACUAUCAAAUCCCCAUAACUUGAUCCAGACUAGAGGUCUUUGUCACAUGUAGAACCUGCUCGAUUCAGACUAGAGGUUCCUUGUGACAUGUACUGUGUCUACAUGUAACUCAAUCUUGUGGCAGUGUUAAUUGCUUGCCUCUUAAGUGGUAAAGGAAAAAUGAAAGGAUAAUUUGUCGAUAACUUUAUCAGAGAUGAAGAUGCAACACCCGAUGAUGACCUGAGCAUUAUUGAACCUUAACUCCUCAAUGUUCAUCUGCAGUACCAAUGCCUUAAUUCACUGACAAAUCUAGAUUCUUGAUCUCCCCUACCAAGUGUUUCAGGCAUUUAACUCCUGCAAUGGGUCUAAUCAACUACGAGAUGGUUCCAAUGUUGAGUAAGUAAUACACUAAUGCAUCAGUUUCAAUUCUGAAACUCAAACCUCAUAUUCUAUCAUAUUGUGUUAGGGACUUGGGUAUUAUGGAGUGCUCAAAGUCCCACAUGGGUAGUAUGGGAUGUUUGAUGUUGUAUACAAGGAGAGUGAUUCUUUUCCCUUAUCAGCUAGCUUUUAAGGGCACAAAAUUCGUGUAGUGAAGAAAUAAAUGAUCAACACAUUCGAUCAGCUCUAAUAUUAUGUUAGUAUGUUCCUUUGGAUCGGAGUUUAACUUAUAACAAUGCUUCUUUAAUAAAGUUUCUCUUUUACCGAGCGCGCCCUAGCCAUUGCUGCGAUGUUCCUGGCUUAGGUACUUUUGGGUGCAAGGUCAUGGUGUCUCUUCUUCUAGAUGCGGUCUUUUGGCUGUUGAGUUGAUUCCUUCUAGUAAUGAAGCAUGAAGCAUCCAGUUCAUGUUCUUGCAUAUUACUCUCUUGAAGAACAAACAGAUGAUUUUUCGGAUACCAUUGUUAGUAUACCUUUGGAAUUCACCAUAUGUGCAUAAACCUUUUUUUCCCCUCAAACUUCCCCUUACUUUUUCUGUCUUGUAAAUUUUUGCUGUAUUUGUAGUAUCAGGGUUCUCAUUUUUGACUUUUCAAUGCAAUUCCUAGACAGUAGUGUCUUUUUAACAAGGUUAUGUUCUUACUUCGUAUGGUAAAUCAGGGUUCUGUUGUGUUCUUGUUUGUAAUAAGGUUGUAGUAUUAGGGUUCUACGAACUCGACAAUUUAUUCUCCUUUUUUUAAUAAAUAACAAAAAAUGAUUUAUUAUCAG